rnacentral:tRNA from 1 species
CAGAGUGUAGUUUAAUUUAGAAUCUUAGCUU